AGGUGAAUAGUACCUCCUUUUUUAUGAUGAUUUUAUGAAUUUUAUUAAUCAUAUAUGUUUAUUGGGUUCUCCUCCCUUUAUAGACGAAUAUAUUAAAGUGUAUAUGAGUGUUAAGAAGUUGUAAUUGUUAAGAGACUGGCAAUUUCUAUGAUAAGAGACUUUCUAAAAUGGCGCCGAGAAUACUUCCGGUUUCGGCGCCGGGAAGACGUCAUGACGUAGCCGUUUUGGGCAAAGAAUGAUGACGCAAAUAGUAAUGUCAUCACGGAACGUAACCGGAAGUCGCCGGAUAAUGACGAAAGCGGAAGUCAUACGGGACGCCAGGGAAAGGGCGCCAGAAUUUGAAAAUAUAAAAAGAAGAGAUCUGAGAUGAGGAACAGACCACUUGAGAAAGGCUGUGAGUGCCGAAACGCGUCGUGGUUCAUUUAAAG